GCAGCAGGCCGGUCUGUCGCCCGUCUCCGCAGAGACGGGAGGAAAGUCCGGGCAACACAGAGCGCCAUCCUUCCUAACGGGAAGCUGUUUGCGAGGACAGAGUAGCGUAACAGAAAAGAACCGCCCUGUGAAAACAGGGUAAGGGUGAAAAGGUGAGGUAAGAGCUUACCGCUCCCGUCGGAAUACGGGAGGACCGUACGCCUGAUGGGUUGUAAGGUCAUGUAUACCGGCGCAGCAGGACGGCUCGUCCGAUGCCGGGGGGUAGACCGCAGGAGCGCGUCGGCAACGGCGCGCGAAGAUCAAUGACAGACACUGCCGCGGCUGCGGCAGUACAGAACCCGGCUUACAGGCCGGCUGCAUUU
rnacentral:RNase_P_RNA from 1 species